GCCAUCGCUCAAAGGAUAAAAGGUACGCCGGGGAUAACAGGCUGAUCACUCCCAAGAGCUCACAUCGACGGAGUGGUUUGGCACCUCGAUGUCGGCUCGUCACAUCCUGGGGCUGGAGAAGGUCCCAAGGGUUGGGCUGUUCGCCCAUUAAAGUGGCACGCGAGCUGGGUUCAGAACGUCGCGAGACAGUUCGGUCCCUAUCUGUUGUGGGCGUUAGAAGUUUGAGGAGGGCUGACUCUAGUACGAGAGGACCGGGUUGGACAUACCUCUAGUGAACCUGUUGUGGUGCCAACUGCACCGCAGGGUAGCUAUGUAUGGAAGAGAUAAGUGCUGAAAGCAUCUAAGCACGAAACUCGCUUCAAGAUGAGACUUCUUUUAAGGGACGUUAAAGACUAUGACGUUGAUAGGCUGUAGGUGUAAAGGUGGUAACAUCAAAGCCGAGCAGUACUAAUUUCCCGUACGCUUCCAAAC
rfam:Bacteroidetes bacterium CG2_30_33_31 cg2_3.0_scaffold_702_c, whole genome shotgun sequence.